UACGGGGGGGGCAAGCGUUGUUCGGAAUUACUGGGCGUAAAGCGCACGUAGGCGGGUCGUUAAGUCAGGGGUGAAAUCCCGGAGCUCAACUCCGGAACUGCCUUUGAUACUGGCGACCUUGAGGCUGGAAGAGGUUAGUGGAAUUCCCAGUGUAGAGGUGAAAUUCGUAGAUAUUGGGAAGAACACCAGUGGCGAAGGCGGCUAACUGGUCCAGAUCUGACGCUGAGGUGCGAAAGCGUGGGGAGCAAACAGGAUUAG
rnacentral:rRNA from 1 species